rnacentral:rRNA from 1 species
GUGGGGAAUAUUGGACAAUGGGCGCAAGCCUGAUCCAGCCAUGCCGCGUGAGUGAUGAAGGCCCUAGGGUUGUAAAGCUCUUUCACCGGUGAAGAUAAUGACGGUAACCGGAGAAGAAGCCCCGGCUAACUUCGUGCCAGCAGCCGCGGUAAUACGAAGGGGGCUAGCGUUGUUCGGAAUUACUGGGCGUAAAGCGCACGUAGGCGGACAUUUAAGUCAGGGGUGAAAUCCCGGGGCUCAACCCCGGAACUGCCUUUGAUACUGGGUAUCUUGAGUAUGGAAGAGGUCAGUGGAAUUGCGAGGGUAGAGGUGAAAUUCGUAGAUAUUCGCAGGAACACCAGUGGCGAAGGCGGCUGACUGGUCCAUUACUGACGCUGAGGUGCGAAAGCGUGGGGAGCAAACAGGAUUAGAAACCCGGGUAGUCC